rnacentral:rRNA from 1 species
CCCUUAGAUGUCCGGGGCCGCACGCGCGCUACACUGAAGGAAUCAGCGUGGCUUUCUCCCUGACCCGAAAGGGUUGGGAAACCCGUUGAAUCUCCUUCGUGAUAGGGAUUGGGGCUUGAAAUUGUUCCCCAUGAACGAGGAAUUCCCAGUAAGCGCUGGUCAUAAGCUCGCGUUGAUUACGUCCCUGCCCUUUGUACACACCGCCCGUCGCUACUACCGAUUGAACGGUUUAGUGAGGGCCUCGGAUUGGUCUCGGCCCGCUCUUUACCGGGCGGCGCCGUUGGUCGAGAAGACGCUCGAACUUGAUCGUUUAGAGGAAGUAAAAGUCGUAACA